rnacentral:rRNA from 1 species
AUUGAACGCUGGCGGCAUGCCUUACACAUGCAAGUCGAACGGCCGCGCGGGAGCAAUCCUGGCGGCGAGUGGCGAACGGGCGAGUAAUUCAUCGGAACGUGCCCAAUCGUGGGGGAUAACGCAGCGAAAGCUGUGCUAAUAUCGCAUACGAUCUACGGAUGAAAGCCGGGGAUCGCAAGACCUUGCGCGAAUGGAUCGGCCGUUGGCAGAUUAGGUAGUUGCUUUGGUAAAGGUUCACCAAGCCGACGAUCGGUAGCUGCUCUGAGAGGACGACCUGCCACACUGGGACGGAGACACGGCCCAGACUCCUACGGGAGGCAGCAGUGGGGAAUGUUGGACAAUGGGCGAAAGCCCGAUCCAGCCACGCCGCGUGAAGGAUGAAGGCCUUCGGGUUGUAAACUGCUUUUGUCCGGAACGAAACGGUCUUUUAGAAUAAAGAAGGGUAAUGACGGUACCGUAAGAAAAAGCACCGGCUAACUACGUG